rnacentral:rRNA from 1 species
ACGUAGGGUGCGAGCGUUAAUCGGAAUUACUGGGCGUAAAGCGUGCGCAGGCGGUUUGAUAAGCCAGAUGUGAAAUCCCCGGGCUUAACCUGGGAACUGCAUUUGGAACUGUUAGACUAGAGUAUAGCAGAGGGGGGUAGAAUUCCACGUGUAGCAGUGAAAUGCGUAGAGAUGUGGAGGAAUACCAAUGGCGAAGGCAGCCCCCUGGGUUAAUACUGACGCUCAUGCACGAAAGCGUGGGGAGCAAGCAGGAUUAGAUACCCUGGUAGUCCACGCCCUAAACGAUGUCAACUAGGUGUUGGGGAAGGAGACUUCUUUAGCACCGCAGCUAACGCGUGAAGUUGACCGCCUGGGGAGUACGGUCGCAAGAUUA